CAGUCGCCACGGUAAUACGUAGGUGGCAAGCGUUGUCCGGAAUUAUUGGGCGUAAAGCGCGCGCAGGCGGUUUCUUAAGUCUGAUGUGAAAGCCCCCGGCUUAACCGGGGAGGGUCACUGGAAACUGGGAGACUUAGAGUGCAGAAGAGGAGAGUGGAAUUCCAUGUGUAGCGGUGAAAUGCGUAGAUAUAUGGAGGAACACCAGUGGCGAAGGCGACUCUCUGGUCUGUAACUGACGCUGAGGCGCGAAAGCGUGGGGAGCAAACAGGAUUAGAUACCCCAGUAGUCCCUGUCUCUUAUA
rnacentral:rRNA from 1 species